rnacentral:rRNA from 1 species
AUACGGAGGGGGCUAGCGUUGUUCGGAAUCACUGGGCGUAAAGCGCGCGUAGGCGGAUUGGUCAGUUGGGGGUGAAAUCCCGAGGCUCAACCUCGGAACUGCCUCCAAAACUGCCAGUCUCGAGUCCGGGAGAGGUGAGUGGAAUUCCGAGUGUAGAGGUGAAAUUCGUAGAUAUUCGGAGGAACACCAGUGGCGAAGGCGACUCACUGGCCCGGUACUGACGCUGAGGUGCGAAAGCGUGGGGAGCAAACAGGAUUAGAUACCCUAGUAGUCC